UACGUAGGGUGCGAGCGUUGCCCGGAUUUAUUGGGCGUAAAGGGCGCGUAGGCGGCCACGCACGUCCGUUGUGAAAUCGCCCGGCUCAACUGGGCGGGGUCAGCGGAUACGGUGUGGCUCGAGCAAGCUAGGGGGCAAUGGAAUCCCCGGUGUAGUGGUGGAAUGCGUAGAUAUCAGGAGGAACACCUGUGGCGAAAGCGGCUCACUGGACCAAUAACUGACGCUGAUGCACGAAAGCUAGGGGAGCAAACAGG
rnacentral:rRNA from 1 species